GUGAAGUCUUGCUUUAAAGAUUCAAGAUCAAUGUCUCAAGCUCUUCAUCAUCCACUCCCUUCAUGGGUUAAAUUAUGCGCUUGCUUUGAGCGCAUCAUCCGGCCACCGAUCUCUGACGGACGACCACCCUCUGCUUCAUCUCGAUGUCGCCUUCGUCCCUGUGGUUCCAGAUCGUACAUGCAGCGACUGGGAACGGAGAAACGACGGCUGGAAGCUCCAAGACUUCUCCGGUGAGCUCUGCAAUUUCCGGCGAUUACGGCCACCGUUUGGGCCACCUGUGUUCAUCAACGUCGGUGACUAUUCCGGCCCUCCUGAGCGUGCUCUCUACACUAAAGACGAUCAGGUCUUCAAGCUCUACGCGUCUGGGUAAGUGGUUUCUCCAAUCUGGCCAAAGUUUCAAGCUUUGGCAGUCUGGGUUCAGUCGAUCACCGCCGGAGUUGCUGUGCGUGACGACCGGUUUGAAACUCCUUGUGAGACUACUGUGUUGAGUUAGACUUGAAUCUUGGAACUGAACCUCAGUUGUGUUCAAUCUCAGAAAUUAGGAGGUGGAACACAGACCGUAGCUGGUCGAAUCAAAGCCCGAAGUUCAUCUACGAGUUGUACUAGCAAAGGUGAACUCGGGUUCUGGACUAGAUGCUUCUUGUUUUGCUUACGAGUGCAGAAAGUAGUUGUUUGAUUGAUUGGGUAUUGUGUUGCAUAUUUGAAAUUGUGGCUGUUGUCAAUGUGAAAUAUUUAGAAUUGGUUAA